ACGGCGAGUGAAGCGGGAAGAGCUCAAACCGAAAAUCACUGCCGCAAGGCAGCGAAUUGUGGUCUAUUGAGGCGUGUCUCAGUGUCGGUCCCGGCCUAAGUCCAUUGGAACAUGGCAUCAGAGAGGGUGAGAAUCCCGUCUUUGGCUGGGGUCCCGGCGCGUUCGAGCCGUCCUCGAAGAGUCGGGUUGCUUGGGAGUGCAGCCCUAAGUGGGUGGUAAAUUUCAUCUAAAGCUAAAUAUAUGUGGGAGACCGAUAGCGAACAAGUACCGUGAGGGAAAGAUGAAAAGAACUUUGAAAAGAGAGUUAAAAAGUACUUGAAAUUGCUGAGAACGAAGGGAUGGCGACUAGUAUUGGCCGGGGCAAUCCUUUCCGGUGCGGUGGUCGGUGUUCUGUGCGGGUCGGAUUGCGUUCAGCUUCCGCUCGUGCAGAUCGGCCGGCCGUCCCCGGGUCCUGUUGCCCUGUGCCUAGGUCAGAAUGGGUUCGCGUUCGGUUGAAAACGACACGGGCAAGGUAGCUCGGGCUUCGGCUCGAGAACUUAUAGGCCUGUGUCGCGAGAUCGUCGCGGUCCGAGGUGCCGAAACACGCGCUCUAAGCUCUUGGCGCGGCUGUUGCUGUCGUGUCGGCGCCGUUGGGGAACAAAGUUCCGUUUCGGUUGUCGGCCGGCACUCUGCGGCCCGUCCAUAUGUCGUGU
rnacentral:rRNA from 1 species